UCGAGAAUUUUUCUCAAUGGGCGCAAGCCUGAAGGAGCGACGCCGCGUGGGGGAUGAAGGGUUUCGAUCCGUAAACCCCUGUCAUUUGUGAACAAUGGUUGCGAUUGAACAUUUCGCAGCUUGAUAGUAAUGAAAGAGGAAGGGACGGCUAACUCUGUGCCAGCAGCCGCGGUAAUACAGAGGUCCCGAGCGUUGUUCGGAUUCACUGGGCGUAAAGGGUGCGUAGGUGGUUGGGUAAGUUUGAUGUGAAAGCUCAGGGCUUAACCCUGAAAUGGCAUUGAAUACUACUUGACUGGAGGUUUGGAGGGGGGACUGGAAUUCUUGGUGUAGCAGUGAAAUGCGUAGAUAUCAAGAGGAACACCAGUGGCGAAGGCGAGUCCCUGGACAACACCUGACACUGAGGCACGAAAGCUAGGGGAGCAAACAG
rnacentral:rRNA from 1 species